rnacentral:sRNA from 1 species
UUUUAGCCCGGAUAGUAGUAAAAAUCCUUUUUAAAUUUGCGUCCUUUAGCAAAUUCAAAAAGAUUGUAACGGAUAGCUGGAUAAAGC